AUCCAGCUGACGAGUCCUAAACAGGACGAAACGCGCGUCCUGGAU
rfam:Schistosoma haematobium scaffold405_15, whole genome shotgun sequence.